rnacentral:rRNA from 1 species
AUAUUUAACGAAAGUGGCGAACGGGUGAGUAACACGUGAGCAACCUGCCUUACACAGGGGAUAGCCAUUGGAAACGGUGAUUAAUACCCCAUAAGACCACAAUACCGCAUGGUAAAAGGGUAAAAGGGAUACCGGUGUAAGAUGGGCUCGCGUCUGAUUAGCUAGUUGGUGGGGUAAAGGCCUACCAAGGCGACGAUCAGUAGCCGGUCUGAGAGGAUGAACGGCCACAUUGGAACUGAGAAACGGUCCAAACUCCUACGGGAGGCAGCAGAG